ACACAGCACCAACUCUAAAGCAGUCUUGUCACAAAAUAUUAAACCUGGACCUGAUCAAGCAUCUGGACUGGCUUAUGGAUAUAGAGAAAAUGUAGGGGAUAGAUGAGCACGGGAAAUGUCUCCGUGGGGCAAAAUUCACAAAAUUCAGAUUGUUGGACACUCUCCAGGACAAAAGGUCUAGAUUCUUCAAAAACAACAACAUCGAAAAAAAAAAACUGCCAGAAAGAAAAAAUACAGAGGGAGAAGGACACAGAACACAUUUAUGAGUCUUUUCACCCUCAUUUCGUUGAAGAUUUUAUUGGCCGAAGAACCCUCAGUAGGCAUGAAAUUAAUUCUCACAAGCAGAGAGAUGCAUUAUGCUCCAUUUAUUGCUCAUCCUAAAUUAUAAACAUUUCCAGUGAAUGUAAAGGAAGAUAUGAUUGAAAAGGACUCUGUGAAGACAGGAUGUUUCUGUACAGUCCUUGUAUCUCCUCACCUAUUCCAAACUUUCCAGAGAUUUUACCAGAGGUUUAAGAUAUUCUCCUGAGGGUUUGCUGUAGAGGGAUUUUUCUUAACUAAGGAGUGCAAGUAGCAAGCAAUAGCCCACCCAGUUGGAGACAAAAAAGAAGGGUGUCAGUGUUCCCAGUGUUAAAAAACAAAACAAAAAAAUCACCCUGGACACCUCUGAGAAUUAUACAAGGGGAUGUACACAGCCCCGCUUUAUUUGAGUUCAAAAGGAAGGUGGGUUUUGAAAGAAGAACAAGGAGAGUAGAUCUCUCUGGAUCUUCUGAUGCUCACAGCAAAGAGCUCAAGGUAUCUGAGUCAACUCUUGAGGCUUCUUUGAACAGAGGGAUGAAGAGAGAAUAUGGCAAGCUUGCCAACAGAUCCCAGAAGUUUUAAGAGAAAAGAACAGAUUGCUCUUUGCAAAACAAACCGAGCUGGGUGCAUGGAGCCCCAGUAGACAGAAAGUGCAGAAAACAUCAACGUUCUGAAGUUUUAGAUAGGUGCACCAUCCCUUAUGGAUACCAGUCUGUGCUCCCCAUAAACUUCUGUGCCCAGGGUCAACUGGCCAGGGACAACUGGCUCACCAGGAGGCCUACAUAUCCUCUUCUUCAGGCCCUAAUUACAGCUCUAUGCAAUAGGGACUCUGCCAUCUAACAGCCAAGGAGAUGAAGAAAGAUGAUAUGAUGUGAUGGACAACAGAGACUUAUAUGGUGGGGUCUGGGCUGGUCUUUCUGAAGCUAAGACUGGCAGGAUGAGCAGGAGUUUGCCAGACAAAGAGGAGUGGAGUUGUUUUCCAAACACAUCUCAGCACAAAGUGUUGUCUUUGCUGGGAGCUGAAAAAAGAUAGUGUGGGCAGAGACCAUUAGGUGAGACGCUGGAUAUGAGAUACAACCUCAACAGGUGGAAGAAGAUCGUGAGAGAUGAAGAGAGGAAUAUAGUACAGCAGAGAGGACACAGAAGCUGACGUCAGGGUGUCUCAGUUUGAAACCAGUGGCCACCCUGUUCCUCUCCCAUGUGGUCCCAUCAUGGGCCUCUAGGGUCUGGGAUAAGAGGUUAAUGAAUAUCUCAUACCCUAAGCAGGGGUGGUCCCUGCACUUCAGCAAAAAGUUAAGGAACUAGGGAAAAGAGAUGGAAAUAAUAAAGAGAUGGGACAAAGACUUUGAAGACCAAAGCCCUUGGGCUAUUCUCUUUUUAAAAUUUUUUAUUUAAACUUUCAUUUAUUUUUAUCAAGAUAGGGUCUCACUAUGUUGCCCAGGUUGGUCUCAAACUUCUGGCCUAAAGCAAUCCUCCCACCUUGGCCUCCCAAUGUGCUGGGAUUACAAUGUGAGCCACCACGUCCAGCCUCCUGGGAUAUUUCUCAAUGAAACGUUGGAUGCCAAGAUUGGUUUUGUGCCACAUGCCAAUUUCACAGAAGCCAGUCUAUGAGCCACCAGCUCUACUCAGCAAUUACAACUUCUGGAACUUUGGCUAAAUUCCUGUAGAUGCACCACUGCUUGUGGCCUGACUCUUUGCCACCCAAGUGCGCUCAGCCUCCCCUGGGGAGUCUGCCAGGCUUGCAUGGCUCCCACUGCACUUGCUGUGCUGGGACCGAAAACAGUUUUUGUGCCCCUAGCUUAACUCCACUGGAUUCAUAGAGGCUUUGGCCUCCUCAGUGGCUGUCCUGGGACAGGGAGGCUGGUUAGCACAAUUAACACAACCUGGUCAUGCAAGGCAUUGAUGGUCCGUAACAUGAACUUUGACCAGUAGGAGACAGAGAAUGGAAAAAAGCCAGCAGAUAAAUCAUCUGGCCCUCCUCCCCUAUGACAGACUGUUCUGAGCCACAGUGUUUCACAUGUCUUCCUGGAGAUGUCCCACAUGACUUGAGCAACCAGCUGGAGCUCUGGAGAAACUGUGGCCAUCCUGAGGAAGAAACAGGCCCAGAGAAGUUGGGUAACUCAUCAAAGGUCACAGAGCUAAGAGUGGCAGAGUCAGGCUUGGAGCCCAGGAAGUCUGGUUUUGAAUUUCAUGCUUCUAACCUGAGCACUGUACUGCUUGGUGGAGUUCUCUGCUAGUCCUACCUUUCAGGCAGAGGUGAUGCAGCAAGAAAGCUGCCACCAGAUGCAGCCCCUUGAUCUCGGACUGCCCAGCCUCUAGAACUGAGUUGAAGAGCAAUUCCCUCCAGUUUCCAUUAGAAAUGCUUCUUCUUCCAUAUCAAAUAUUGUGAGAUAGCCUGAAACACCUUUCAACACUUUACUACCCUUCUCCAAAAUUCAACAGAUAUGAUUUCCACGGACUUUACUCACAGGGGCUCCAGUAGAAGAGGAAGAGGCUUGGGUUUCAUUGAAGGUGGCCUGAGACAUCUGUGAGGAACAGCACUUUUAGAGACAUAUCCCCUACAAAUAAAGCAUCAGAAUUAUUAUCCUAAUACAUGAACAUCCAUGGUUCCUUCAGCACCAUCGUAAUGCAGAGACCAUGGGGAGAUGCAGGGAGAGGGCUCUGCACAGCACGGCCAACUUGCCGGGUUGAAGACAGACAACCUCCAUGGAGCAGGGACUUCAAUUAGUUAAUUCCCCAUCCCCACUGUCACUUACUAACAUGGGAUUCUGAUUAAAAAUUAGAUUCUCUGC